UGAUUGUAAGACCCUGCUUUGAACUC
rnacentral:piRNA from 1 species